GCGACCCAUGUCAGGCAGGAUCAUCCGCUGAGUUUAAGCAUAUCAAUAAGCGGAGGAAAAAAACUAAUAAGGAUUCCCUUAGUAACGGCGAGCGAACCGGGAAUAGCCCAACUUGAAAAUCGGAUGUCUUUGGCGUUAGAAUUGUAGUCUGGAGAAGCGUCCUCAGCGACGGACCGGGCCCAAGUUCCUUGGAAAGGGGCGCCAGAGAGGGUGAGAGCCGCGUCGUGCCCAGACCCUAUCGCACCACGAGGCACUGUCUACGUGUCGGGUUGUUUGGGAAUGCAGCCCCAAUCGGGCGGUAAAUUCCGUCCAAGGCUAAAUGUGGGCGAGAGACCGAUAGCGAACAAGUACCGCGAGGUAAAGAUGAAAAGGACUUUGAAAAGAGAGUCAAAGAGUGCUUGAAAUUGUCGGGAGGGAAGCAGAUGGGGGUCGGCGAUUCUUCCCGGUUGGAUGCGGAGCGGAGCAAUCCGGUAUACCAAUCGAUUCGGGCCAUGGACCGAUUCGGAUUAAGGUGGUGACGUACGCACGGGCUUUUGUACGCCCGCGGAGACGUCGCUGCCUUAAUUGUGGUCUGCAGCACGCGCCUCACGGCGUGCCUACGGCAUCUGCGUGCUCAGGGCGU
rnacentral:ncRNA from 1 species